UGGCCGCGUGCAAGGAUGACGGCCCCUACGGGUUGUAAACUGCUUUUACACGGGAAGAAACCUCCCCUCGUGAGGGGAUCUGACGGUACCGUGAGAAUAAGGACCGGCUAACUCCGUGCCAGCAGCCGCGGUAAUACGGAGGGUCCGAGCGUUAUCCGGAAUCAUUGGGUUUAAAGGGUCCGUAGGCGGGCCUAUAAGUCAGGGGUGAAAGGCCACGGCUCAACCGUGGGACUGCCCUUGAUACUGUAGGUCUUGAGUUAUAGUGGGGUUGCCGGAACAUGUGGUGUAGCGGUGAAAUGCAUAGAUAUCACAUAGAACACCGAUCGCGAAGGCAGGUGACCAACUAUAUACUGACGCUGAUGGACGAAAGCGUGGGUAGCGAACGGGAUUAGAUACCCCGGUAGUCCACGCCGUAAACGAUGAAUACUAGGUGUCGGGGGUCGAACCUCGGUGCCGCAGCUAACGCAUUAAGUAUUCCGCCUGGGGAGUACGCACGCAAGUGUGAAACUCAAAGGAAUUGACGGAAUCUGA
rnacentral:rRNA from 1 species